rnacentral:lncRNA from 1 species
UCUCUUCAGUAAAUGAGAACGUAGCCGGUACUAGUCGGAGAACGGAGUGAUGGUUCGAGAUGGUUGUUUUAGUAGUCCUCACUAUUUAGUGUGACAAUAAAUGUAAUAAUCCAUUUGAGUUUGGAUAUUAUCUAGAAGACAAUAUUCGUGUAAAAACUCUCAGCUCAUGUUGUAUAAUUAAGUUUGUAUUUGUAUUUAGUACCAUGAAUUUGGCGACUAAGAUAGGUGAUGUAUACCUAUUUUGGG